rnacentral:sRNA from 1 species
UUUUUUUCCAAGCUGGAAGUACCAGCUCACAUCUAGAACGCAAGCCGAGACAGGAGGAUUGCCAAGAAUUAGAGAGGCCUUGCCUGGACUAGGUUGUGAGUUACUGGGUGAUUGGAUCUCAGAGUGAGACCCGACCCCUUACAGCUUGUACGGCCUCUCUAUCCUCGGCUUACUUCUGCACCCCUGUUUCUCCAGUGUCUCUGUGUGGGGUCUUCCCACCUAGGUCCCUUUUAGCCUGGCCUGGAAGUCUGCAGCCUAGGAGUGGCUGGAGAAAAGUUGGGGAUGCCGCCAAGAGGUCUGUUUGUAGUUCAGAUUCCUCUCAUUCCAGACUCAGCAGGCUCUCGAAAGGAAGGACUGGGAUUGGGAGGAGGAUCCUUGGUGCACCAGCUGUGGGGGGAAGAGGGGGGUUCAUUCUCUGCAGCUGACCCCCAACCACAAGUAAGAGGACCCUAGGACCUGCAUGUACUGACUGCAGCCCUUCGUUCCCCAGCAGCCUUCACUUCCAGGCCCCUCCCAACAUGGGGGCUGUAGUCAUGGCUGAAUUCCUUGCAUCUUUUCGAGUUCCUCUUUCUCCUGGGCACGGUAGGGAGAGCAUUUAGAUAGAGACUGAGUAAGGAGGAAUUGCCUGGAGAGUGUUGCUGGUUCAGCCUCAGCUUCAAAGAAGCCACCAGUCCCCCCCCCCCCCAACUGAAGUCUGCAAAGUUUUACUUUAACCCAGCAAUGGAUUUGUUAUUCUAUCCUGCAACCCCUAGACCAAAGAAUUUCUCAAGGGUUAUCUGGGGUGACCUUACCCUGGGGGAAGGCAACCUGAAACCCCCAAGCCUCCCUUCCCAGUGACUUCAGGGUUUAGAAAUCCCUGUACCUGCACCUCUCCCUGGGAAACACCCCUCUCAGGGUUUCUUCCUGACCCAGGCAGUGGAGGGAAAACAAACAUUGCCGGCAAGGGUUGGGUGUCCAUCAAAUGAAGUGACCACUUUGUCUGACCUUCUCAACCCUUUGAGGAAGAAGAUUAAUGUCGCCUUUUGUCACUGAGUGACCUAUGCCAGGAAGGACCACGUUGGCCAUUGAGUUUAGGCUCAGUUGUUGAGCUUCAGGAGUCUGAAGAGGGAGCCUGGGGGCAUUGAGGGACUUGGAGAGGCUGUGAAGACUCCAUUGGAGUUGCAGGGUAGUGAAGCUGGCAGUUACACGAUGAACCCUACAAAAAAUACUGGCGAGACGAAGAUGCUGCCUGGAAUCCAAGCAUCUGGGGCUGGAUCCUCCCAUCAUGUCCCCUGAGAAGGUCCAGCUGGAGAGACAAGCUAACAUGAACAUCCCCUCAUGUUAGGACUCACUGUUCUUUCUACUCCUGAUGCUAAGGUUGGGCCUCUUUGAGACUUUAUAUCCACCGUAGAGCCUGAGCUAGAGAGUGUCUAAAGCCUUUAGGGGGCUAAGGCUGUGAUGAGAGAAGACAGGGUGUAGGGGGUUGGGAGAAGUGACUGAGAAAGAGAGGGGAGAGAGGGUAAUAGCUUUGUGUUCCCACUGGAACGCAGCAUCCUCCAUAAUUCACACUGAACUUCAGCAUGAAGAAUCUACAAGGGGCUGGGGAUUUAGCUCAGUGGUAGAGUGCUUACCUAGGAAGCGCAAGGCCCUGGGUUCGGUCCCCAGCUCCGGAAAAAAAAGAACCAAAAAAAAAAGAAUCUACAAAACUAUUUUUGGUGCAUGUGUUACGUGGUGGGUAUGUGUGUAAGUGUCCGGAAGUGAGCCUUCUUCAAAUCAGUGUCUAUGCAGCAUGCAUGCACAAUAAAGCCAGAGGCGGACCAGCAGGGCAUUCCUCCAUAGCUCUCUACCCUCGUUUAUGUACUUAAAAAGUUUUAUGGGCUCAGCAGGCAAAUGCAUCUGCUGUCAAACAUCACAUCCUGAAUUCCAUCCCGAAGACCACAUGGAGGGAGAGACAAACUCCUGCAAGUUGUCCUCUGACCUACACAGGCUUGCUGCCUGCUGUGGUGUUACUUAGCAAUUUCCUCCUAGAGAAAACAUGCCACCCUGCAGGGAAGCCCUUCAAAACUAAGGAAGUAAACAACUCAAAAGCAUUAGGAAGUCCCUGAAACUGACCAGAUUCACUAGGCUCUUAUCUCUCCAAGGUUAUAUAAACGAUAAAGUCUUCUGAGAGAGACACUGAGAACAGAUGAGCUGUCUGGAGGAGACUCCAGCCGUCUAAGCUGCCUGCAAAAUUGUGCAGUGAGCACUAUGCUUCCAGGUUCUGUGCUCAUCAUCCAUGCUGGGAUAAGCUUUUGGUGAUGCAGCCAUCUUUGAGUGAUUUCUGCUACUCCACCCAUACUCCGCAUGUAGUCACAAUAAAACUCAUUGGCUUACCAA